rnacentral:rRNA from 1 species
CCUACGGGAGGCAGCAGUAGGGAAUCUUCCGCAAUGGACGAAAGUCUGACGGAGCAACGCCGCGUGAACGAUGAAGGCCUUCGGGUCGUAAAGUUCUGUUGUUAGGGAAGAACAAGUGCUAGUUGAAUAAGCUGGCACCUUGACGGUACCUAACCAGAAAGCCACGGCUAACUACGUGCCAGCAGCCGCGGUAAUACGUAGGUGGCAAGCGUUGUCCGGAAUUAUUGGGCGUAAAGCGCGCGCAGGCGGUUUCUUAAGUCUGAUGUGAAAGCCCCCGGCUCAACCGGGGAGGGUCAUUGGAAACUGGGAAACUUGAGUGCAGAAGAGGAAAGUGGAAUUCCAAGUGUAGCGGUGAAAUGCGUAGAGAUUUGGAGGAACACCAGUGGCGAAGGCAACUUUCUGGUCUGUAACUGACGCUGAGGCGCGAAAGCGUGGGGAGCAAACAGGAUUAGAUACCCUGGUAGUCCACGCUGUAAACGAUGAGUGCUAAGUGUUAGAGGGUUUCCGCCCUUUUAGUGCUGAAGUUAACGCAUUAAGCACUCCGCCUGGGGAUACGGUCGCAAGACUGAAACUCAAAAUGAAUUGACGG